AAAGAUAGCUUGCUAUUUUUAUGAAGAGCGGCGAACGGGUGAGUAACGCGUGGGAAAUCUGCCGAGUAGCGGGGGACAACGUUUGGAAACGAACGCUAAUACCGCAUAACAAUGAGAAUCGCAUGAUUCUUAUUUGAAAGAAGCAAUUGCUUCACUACUUGAUGAUCCCGCGUUGUAUUAGCUAGUUGGUAGUGUAAAGGACUACCAAGGCGAUGAUACAUAGCCGACCUGAGAGGGUGAUCGGCCACACUGGGACUGAGACACGGCCCAGACUCCUACGGGAGGCAGCAGUAGGGAAUCUUCGGCAAUGGGGGCAACCCUGACCGAGCAACGCCGCGUGAGUGAAGAAGGUUUUCGGAUCGUAAAACUCUGUUGUUAGAGAAGAACGUUAAGUAGAGUGGAAAAUUACUUAAGUGACGGUAUCUAACCAGAAAGGGACGGCUAACUACGUGCCAGCAGCCGCGGUAAUACGUAGGUCCCAAGCGUUGUCCGGAUUUAUUGGGCGUAAAGCGAGCGCAGGUGGUUUCUUAAGUCUGAUGUAAAAGGCAGUGGCUCAACCAUUGUGUGCAUUGGAAACUGGGAGACUUGAGUGCAGGAGAGGAGAGUGGAAUUCCAUGUGUAGCGGUGAAAUGCGUAGAUAUAUGGAGGAACACCGGAGGCGAAAGCGGCUCUCUGGCCUGUA
rnacentral:rRNA from 1 species